rnacentral:rRNA from 1 species
CCUACGGGCGGCCGCAGUGAGGAAUAUUGGUCAAUGGACGAGAGUCUGAACCAGCCAAGUAGCGUGAAGGAUGACUGCCCUAUGGGUUGUAAACUUCUUUUAUAUGGGAAUAAAACAGGGUAUGCAUACACUCUUGUAUGUACCAUAUGAAUAAGGAUCGGCUAACUCCGUGCCAGCGGCCACGGUAAUACGGAGGCUACGAGCGUUAUCCGGAUUUUUUGGGUUUAAAGGGAGAUUAGGUGGGUUGUUAAGUUAGUUGUUAAAGUUUGCGGCUCAACCGUAAAAUUGCAGUUGAAACUGGUAGGUCUGAGUACAGUAGAGGUGGGCGGAAUUCGUGGUGUAGCGGUGAAAUGCUUAGAUAUCACGAAGAACUCCGAUUGCGAAGGCAGCUCACUGGACUGCAACUGACACUGAUGCUCGAAAGUGUGGGUAUCAAACAGGAUUAGAUACCCUAGUAGUC